rnacentral:rRNA from 1 species
GAUCAUGGCUCAGGAUGAACGCUAGCGGUAUGCUUAACACAUGCAAGUCGUACGAGAGUUUUAAUUCAAGUGGCGGACGGGUGAGUAACACGUGAGAAUUUACCUUUAGGAGGGGGAUAACAAUUGGAAACGAUUGCUAAUACCCCAUAUGCUUUCAAGUGAAAUGGAGUUUUUCCGCCUAAAGAAAAAGCUCGCGGCUGAUUAGCUUGUUGGUAAGGUAAUGGCUUACCAAGGCGACGAUCAGUAUCUGGUUUGAGAGGACGAUCAGACACACUGGAACUGAGACACGGUCCAGACUCCUACGGGAGGCAGCAGUGGGGAAUUUUCCGCAAUGGGCGAAAGCCUGAACCGGAGCAAUACCGCGUGAGGGAAGAAGGCCUAUGGGUUGUAAACCUCUUUUUCAGGGAGGAACAAAAUGACGUGUACCUGAAGAAUAAGCAUCGGCUAACUCCGUGCCAGCCGCAGC